rnacentral:rRNA from 1 species
UGGGGAAUAUUGCCCAAUGGGCGAAAGCCUGAUGCAGCGACGCCGCGUGAGGGAUGAAGGCCUUCGGGUUGUAAACCUCUUUCAGCAGGGAAGAAGCGCAAGUGACGGUACCUGCAGAAGAAGCGCCGGCUAACUACGUGCCAGCAGCCGCGGUAAUACGUCGGGCGCAAGCGUUGUCCGGAAUUAUUGGGCGUAAAGAGCUCGUAGGCGGUUUGUCGCGUCUGGUGUGAAACCUCGAGGCUCAACCUCGAGCUUGCAUCGGGUACGGGCAGACUAGAGUGCGGUAGGGGAGACUGGAAUUCCGGGUGUAGCGGUGGAAUGCGCAGAUAUCAGGAGGAACACCGAUGGCGAAGGCAGGUCUCUGGGCCGCAACUGACGCUGAGGAGCGAAAGCAUGGGGAGCGAACA